rnacentral:rRNA from 1 species
CAGUCGCCGCGGUAACACGUAGGGUGCGAGCGUUAAUCGGAAUUACUGGGCGUAAAGCGUGCGCAGGCGGUUUUGUAAGACAGGCGUGAAAUCCCCGGGCUCAACCUGGGAACGGCGCUUGUGACUGCAAGGCUAGAGUGCGGCAGAGGGGGAUGGAAUUCCGCGUGUAGCAGUGAAAUGCGUAGAUAUGCGGAGGAACACCGAUGGCGAAGGCAAUCCCCUGGGCCUGCACUGACGCUCAUGCACGAAAGCGUGGGGAGCAAACAGGAUUAGAUACCCGCGUAGUCCCUGUCUCUUAUAC